rnacentral:rRNA from 1 species
GAUGAACGCUGGCGGCGUGCCUAAUACAUGCAAGUCGAGCGAACGGACGAGAAGCUUGCUUCUCUGAUGUUAGCGGCGGACGGGUGAGUAACACGUGGAUAACCUACCUAUAAGACUGGGAUAACUUCGGGAAACCGGAGCUAAUACCGGAUAAUAUUUUGAACCGCAUGGUUCAAAAGUGAAAGACGGUCUUGCUGUCACUUAUAGAUGGAUCCGCGCUGCAUUAGCUAGUUGGUAAGGUAACGGCUUACCAAGGCAACGAUGCAUAGCCGACCUGAGAGGGUGAUCGGCCACACUGGAACUGAGACACGGUCCAGACUCCUACGGGAGGCAGCAGUAGGGAAUCUUCCGCAAUGGGCGAAAGCCUGACGGAGCAACGCCGCGUGAGUGAUGAAGGUCUUCGGAUCGUAAAAAUCUGUUAUUAGGGAAGAACAUAUGUGUAAGUAACUGUGCACAUCUUGACGGUACCUAAUCAGAAAGCCACGGCUAACUACGUG